CUUUUGGUUAGGAUUCUACUUGCAAGUAGUUCCUGAUACCAUGCCUUUAGUAUUGCUAGUAUAUGUCUUAUUAUUUAAGUAAUAUUUGUUAUCUGCAUUCAAACUUGUUAUGCUAUUAUAUAUCUACAGUGCCUAAAAGGAACAGAUGUUAUUUGUAUGUUGUUUUAAAAACUUGUUGUAGUGAUUCUUGCAAUAUUAGUGGAGCUAAUGAUCCUAGUGGUUUGAUCAUGUAGAUACAGUUGCUCUCGAAUAUAAUGAGUGGAAAGAUUAUCUUACAGUUCUCCCAUUUGUGGUAACUGUUGUAGCAUCUGUGUCUUUGAUUUCUAUAACUUCUAAGUUGAUCCACGCAACUUCAGGAUCCUCAGCCCACACGUGUGAUUCGACUAUGAUGUUUACAGUAGUUCCCUGGAUCGUUGAAGAAUCACAAAAAAGAAUGGCAAUGUAGAGAAGCUAAUGGAUUUUUGUUGUCUAGAGAGAAAAUGGCAGUGCUAGUAAAGAAUGAUGGAGUGAAGAUUUGCCGGAAAUAAAAAUUAGACAGAAUGUUGAAAAGAAUAAGAAAUCCCGGUGGUGGUAACUCAAAAGAAAAAAAGGCAGAGAUGCUGACUUGGCACCUUUUUUUUUGGCUCAUUCGACACAGGAUGCUAACUUGCCACCAAAAGAAGCAUGCCAGUUGUGUGUAGGCAACAAAGAGAAUUCAUGUGCAGUUGAUGCAAGAGAUAGUUUUUAUGUUAAUGCUUAUUGUUGCAGCCAUCUGAUGAGUGGACCUUUUGCUUUGCCAAUGUUGAAGGCCUUUGGGUUCCUAAUUAUGGUUGUGCAUUGCUAAUGCCAAGCAGUGGGGAUUACUAGCUGUCAUUGGAGUGGUUAUAAAAUUAUGAAAGUGUCUUAUUACUUAAAUAAUUUGACAUUAAGUUAUUCCUUUUUGGAUGGUUGGAAGUUAAAUGGAUGUAAAUUUCGAAAUGAUUGAUAAUAUAUGUAUUAUUUUGUUUAUAUA